AGCUCAAAACCCUAAACAUGAAGGAUCAUCAAAUUGAAGGGCAAAUCAAGGUCUAAAUUCAUGAAUAAACACGGAUUAAUGAUCACCUCUUCAUGGGGAUCGCAAGGAAUCAUGUCGAGACGGAAUCAGGCACGAAAGGCUAACGGGUCAAGAAGUGGCGAGGAACGAAUGGGAACACGGAUGCAUGAGGUUGUACAGAUAAUGGGCGAUUAUCACAAGGAUUAGAGAUCGAAGAUCGAGUCACAAGUUAGAUUGUACGGGGACGUUGAAUGUAAAAUGU